AUUCAGAUCCUCGUUGUUUAAGACCUAGGUAGAAAGCCACAAACGGUUUUCUGAGUUCAGGCGUGAAGUGGGAGUGGCGUCGGGAACAGUAAGUGCCAAUUUCGUGAACACGCGGAACCCCGUUGCCAGCCCCUGAGGAGUCACUUCUUGCGGGGGUGCCUAGGUACGCCUUCAUAAACCGGGCCACAUUGGCAAAGCGGAAACGCAGCUCCCAAACUGCCACGGACAUAGCCUCCCAGGCUAUUCGGACGUGUCAAGGGCCCGUCCACAUCGAGCCUGAUAGCUGCGGCUUCGCUUGCAGGGCAGCGAAAGAUGAAUGCAAGCAGCAUCCGAAGUAUGGACACAUUACCGAGCUGACAGGCCUGUGUGAUCGGAUAUACACUCUUCCGAUGCAGCUGGACAUGGGAGAGGUAGAUCAGUGGUGUGGGAUGAACACCACGACGGGCGAUAAGUGACACCCCGGGCACGUUCUACCAAGGCGGGGUAGCCAACGACGUGCCAACCGUGUUAACCCCAGAAAGCAUGCUGGACCCCUGUGUCGAGUCUGUUGCAGUCACGAAGGAUCUGUUCAGCAGGCUGGCUCUAAGUCGUUUAUCUGCUACAUGCGGCCUGCUGGCGGACGAGGCUCAGUGGCGCUGCUGAAUGUUACGUCGAAGUCUAUUCUGCUUCGCACCAGCCAAGGAAAGACGAGACCAGCUCUUCGCGUGAGGGGUGGUAUGUGACAUGGUGCAAGCGCAUGCAUCCAUUUUAAAGUUUAUUGUGUAGCCGGAUCACUUUGCCGGUAGGGCGAGCGUCCACAGAAAGUUUUGUAGUUAGUGUCCAGUAUGAACAGAAAGACGAAGCAACGUAUGCAUCCGCGUGUGCGGUCGGUCAUGUAAAGGGAGGU
rnacentral:lncRNA from 1 species